UACGUAGGGGGCAAGCGUUGUUCGGAAUUACUGGGCGUAAAGGGCGCGUAGGCGGCACGGCAAGUCAGGAGUGAAAGGCCUGGGCUCAACCGAGGAACUGCUUUUGAGACUGCAUGGCUGGAGUGCGGCAGAGGGGGAUGGAAUUCCGCGUGUAGCAGUGAAAUGCGUAGAUAUGCGGAGGAACACCGAUGGCGAAGGCAAUCCCCUAGGCCUGCACUAACGCUCAUGCACGAAAGCGUGAGGAGCAAACAGG
rnacentral:rRNA from 1 species